rnacentral:tmRNA from 1 species
GGGCUUGACCGGUUUUGACAGCGGGUAGAAGUGGUUUGUAAGCAUGCAGUGCGUCGUUGUUCGGCACUUUAAUCUCGGAUGAUAAACAAUUAACUGGCGAAAAUAAUUACGCUCUCGCUGCUUAAUCGAAGUAUAGUAGAUUUCAAGCUUUAUUCCUUCUCAAGGAGUUGGAACGAGACAUCACCCGGAAGCUCUGGCUUCGAAGCAAUCCGACCCGGUGGUGCAGCCAUAUCGGAGAUAGUCUGAAGUAGGUCUUGGACUUUGGAUGAAAUUAAGAGAAUAAGCUCAAUAUUGGUGGCUUUGGUCUUGUGUUGAGUCGAAAAAUUAAGCAAAGAUAAGCAUGUAGAAAGCAAAUUAAUUCCUCGUUUGGACGAGGGUUCGAAUCCCUCCAGGUCCAC